GCCAUCUGCAACCCCUUCACCACAACCUGACUGGGCUGGAGACCUCAUCUUGGAUUUCCAGCCCCCAGAACAGUAGCCUGAACCAACUAGGACAAGGAAAGAGGAAAGUCAGCAGUGGGAUAAUUCAGUGAAGAGAAAACUGACAGGGCAGAGCACAGAGGGUGCAGGAUUCAACAUCUGGCUCAGUUCCAAUGUAUUCCUGAGUUUUUCAGUCUCAUUCCCACAAUGAUCUGUCUUCUCUCUCUGGUUAAAAGAAAUGCAUGCUGGGCAUUCUGCCAAACACUUGGGGGCCUUGUAGCAUUCUGCUGUGACCCCUGGGGUCUGCCCUUUUCCCUGUGUCACUGCUUGUGGGAGUGAGAGGCCUACUGUGGCCCUGCUGGAGCUACGCAUUGAAUUCUGAAGCACGAAAAGUUUACCCAGGCCCAGGACUGAAUUCCCCACAUCUGUGUCUCAAGAAUCCCAGCCAGCUAUGAUCUGAUGACCAGCGCCUUAUGAAGUGACCUCAGUAAGAGAUAGUGAGGGGCACCGAGGGGCACUGGCUCUUCCGCGGCCACCUUUACACAUCCUCUCUCACAGGGAAAAGGUCCUUCAAGGUUUACAGUAUACAACUACAUCCUUGAUCUGAUAUAAAUCAAGCCAGGACAUUAGCAUCCAAAUAAGUACUCGACCUAUUCUGCACCUGCAUAUGAAUGAAACUCUAGGGGUCAUCUUUUGAGGAAGUGCCCACUUACUGACCUCUAGUUAUCCCAGAGGACCCAGGUACACUCUGCCUUGUGAUAACACAGGAUACCUGUAUGAGGAUAAGCUCUGAGGACAGGAAGUAUAAAGGUUGACUUUUGGGCAAAACAAAAAUGAAAAAAUAAAUAAAGCACCUAAAAGAUGAAGAGACUCUGUCCUCCCCCUUUCCUGCUCUUCCCUCCUCAAAGUACCAUUUCUACUUCUCUCCCAGCCUUCCUCUUCCUCCUGGAAACAACUGCUUUCAGAACAGAAUUUAUUCACUGUCUCAAAAGGCCCUUAAAACUCUGACAUUUUAUGGUACUAUUUGAAUUUCAUCCAAUUUCUUUUCAUGAGAUGAAGCUUUGGUAUUAAGGAGUUUCAGAUAUGUUGGGGUCAUUUGGGAGAAGAGGUAGGGACUUCCCUACCUAGGCAGAUUUUACGGUGGAUGUCUUCAUGAAAAUAGGCAGCAUCGUGGAGCCUGACCAAAGAGCCUGACGAGGUCUCCUCAUAUUUAACAGAAGGAUGUCCAGGCCGAGAGGGGGCCCCAAGAAACUGAGCCUGCUUCCGGAAAGACACAGUUCUUCUACUGAUGAACUCAGUGCAGUGAAAUGGAUACUACUGUGAACCUAAGGGCAGGAGCUAUGAAGAGCAAUCCUCCAUGCCUCUUGGA